CUGCAACGUUGUCAGAAUAAACAAAACAUUAGCGUCAAAUAUUAAACUUUGGAGACACUACACAGACGUUUUAGAUAGAGUAUACCGUCGAUUGAAAGCUUUUAAAGUAUCUCAACAAAGGAUUAUAUAUUUGUUCCGAGCAUUUGGCUGCAGAUUGAACGAGAUGAAUGAAUCUGGUAAACGUUAAGGGAAUUUUGUCGACAGACUGGAUUUAUAUCCGCUACAGCUAACGUUACUCUGCAAACCAUCCCAGUCGAGCUGCUGAGACUGAACCUCCUGCAUCAGAUUCUGCAGACGCCGCUUAAAGAACACCUCGAAGCGCAGAUCGUCCUCGAUCACCAGAGACGACUGCAGGCCACGAUCCACAAUCUGCAGAGACACGAUAAUAUAUAAAUACUAAACCACUCUGAUACAAAACAUGCAAAGUUGGGUCGUCCUCCACUGUGAUUGGACAGAGAGCUCAAUAUUGUCAAAUGAGCAGAGCUCUGCAUUUUACUCAGUCAACAUUAAAACCCCACUGCUGUUGGGUCCUUUUCAUCC
rnacentral:lncRNA from 1 species